rnacentral:rRNA from 1 species
UAUAAAGUCUAACCUGCCCACUGAUUGAAUUAAAUGGCCGCAGUAUUUUAACUGUGCAAAGGUAGCAUAAUCAUUAGUCUUUUAAUUGGAGGCUUGUAUGAAUGGUUGGACGAGAUAUAUACUGUAUCAAAAUAAUAUGUAGAAUUUUAUUUUUUAGUUAAAAAGCUAAAAUAUUUAUGAAAGACGAGAAGACCCUAUAGAUCUUUAUAUUUCAAUUAAUUUUAAGUAUUUAGAAGAUUUUAUUUAAGGUUUAUUGAAGUAUUUUGUUGGGGUGACAUUAAGAUUUAUUUAACUCUUAAUUUAUUAUUACAUUAAUUAUUGAAUAUAAUUGUGAUCCUUUAUUAUGGAUUGUAAAAUUAAGUUACCUUAGGGAUAMCAGCGUAAUUUUUCUAGAGAGUUCAUAUCGAUAGAAAAGAUUGCGACCUCGAUGUUGGAUUAAGAUUAAUUUUGGGUGUARAAGUUCAAUAAAUUAAGUCUGUUCGACUUUUAAUUUUUUACAUGAUCUGAGKUYAAACCGGGGUKAACCAGGUUGGGUUCYAUCUUUAUUAAUUUAAAAUAUUUUAGUACGAAAGGACCAAAUAUUUGAAUUAUAAUUUUUUAUAUUGAAUUUUAAUAAUUU